rnacentral:sRNA from 1 species
UGAUUAAAAUGGGCGGAAGACAAAAAACUACUCUAUUUAUGACAAAAGAAAUAAAGAAAGAAAAAAGAGGUACAGCUACUGGUCAGCAAACUUCCUCGAAAUAAUAUAAUUAGCGAAAUAUAUACCAAUUGCUAGAAAUAUAUCUAUAGUAGAAUAUAAU